AUUUCUUUGGUGUCCUCCCGACCACUUGGUGGCUGGGGCCAUUUAUGCUGGGCAGAGGUUUUUUAACUUUCCCUUGAGUGAUAAGUGGUGGGAAGAAUUUGGAAUAACUGAGCAUCAAUUACGAGAGGUUGGAGAGCGCUUUUGUGAAAGUCAGAGGAUCAAGCUACGAAGUUACAACGUGCCAUCACUGAAAGAAAGGUUGGGAAUUCUAUCUGGGCAGACACAACACCUAUACCAGCGAUUGGCAGAUGCAAGGAGAGAAAAUAAGAGGCUAACUGAUGCGUUGGAGGCGAGAUCAGAUCCUACGACACGACUCACUUUGUCCUAGAAUUCCAUCUUGUGUUUAUCUGUCCUUCCUUUUACUUUCAGCGCAUAAACUUUGAAUGUAUAUCUCAAGGUACUUUCUUACAGGUUAUGGUGACAUUAGUUUAGUAUCUUGUGUUUCCGUCGAGUGACUUUUCCUUUCAGCACAUAAAUUUUGAGAAUAUCAAGUUCU